rnacentral:rRNA from 1 species
UACGUAGGGUGCGAGCGUUGCCCGGAUUUAUUGGGCGUAAAGGGCGCGUAGGCGGCCACGCACGUCCGUUGUGAAAUCGCCCGGCUCAACUGGGCGGGGUCGGCGGAUACGGCGUGGCUGGAGCAAGCUAGGGGGCAAUGGAAUUCCCGGUGUAGUGGUGGAAUGCGUAGAUAUCGGGAGGAACACCGGUGGCGAAGGCGGUUGCCUGGAGCUUUGCUGACGCUGAGGCGCGAAAGCGUGGGGAGCGAUCCGG